AUGAGUGUAGCAAGCGCACAAGUGAGAAAGUUAAAAUGGUGAAAACAAAUUACUCAGAAUUCAAAAAUGGAACAGCCAAAUGUAAUUUGUGCCUUAAAACCAUUAAAACAAGUUUCUACUUCGAUUUUCUAAUCGACAAAUAUGGUGUCGCACCUGAAAAAUAAGCACUAUGACACUUUUGUAAAGUGUAUGCAAAAAAAGGUUUCGACGAACUCUUGCGAAAGCGAAACAAUUGAGCAAUCAUUCAUAAAUUCUGAAACUUUAAAAAGUUAGAGACAACAUGCCUGUCCGGUGCGUGGAGAAAGAAGGUCUAACACAUUUCUUAAGAAAUAUGUGCCGAAAUUUAAAAUGCCAAGCCGGUCCAAGGCGACGUUUGUUUUACUAUGUAGAAUAGUCAUAAAAUUAAUGAUAAUUUUUUCCAGAUUACGACAUUGAUCGGAGAAAAAUACAAGACAUUAGUGAUUGCUGUUAAAAAGGUUUUAAGCAAAGUGGAGGAUGUCGCAUUCACAUUCGAAGUAGUGACUAUAACAAACUCAAGCCGACCAUUUCUUACAAUAACUGCGCAUUUUAUAAAUAAGGAAUGUUUGGAAUCAAUUUGUUUAAAGGCAGCUAGAAUGGAUCAGAUGAAAAUUCAGAUGACCAAGGUGAUGGCUUGGAAAACGACCACAAUAGGUCAAUUUCGAACGUAGACGGUUCGGGAAAUGGGGAACUAAAGAUGUAUUUCAGCUUGCCCCAAUCUUAGUGGGAAAGUAACCCAAUAAUGUUUUGGAGUUCGCAUAAGACGGCUAUGCCAGGACUCUCGAAGAUCGCCUUACGAUACCUUAUAACCCCUUAUAGAUCAGUGCCUUCGGAGCGACUUGCUUCUGCCAUUAAAUGUGUUGUCUGUGACUCACGAAGUCAUAUUUAAAACGAAACGACGGAUACACAUAUCACAGAACGCGUUUUUUUGAAAUUUUUGAACUCCAA